UACAGAGGGUGCGAGCGUUGUCCGGAAUCACUGGGCGUAAAGGGCGCGUAGGCGGUGGCUUAAGCGUGUGGUGAAAGCUCAGGGCUCAACCCUGAGUCGGCCGUGCGAACUGGGUCACUGGAGCAUGUCAGAGGCAGGCGGAAUUCCGGGUGUAGCGGUGGAAUGCGUAGAGAUCCGGAAGAACACCGGUGGCGAAGGCGGCCUGCUGGGCUAUGGCUGACACUGAGGCGCGACAGCGUGGGGAGCAAACAGG
rnacentral:rRNA from 1 species